AGCUGGUGGAGCAGAAGCAAGACCAUUUGUUACCUACCAUAAUUCGCUAGGAAGGGAUCUUUAUUUGAGGAUAGCAACAGAGCUCCACUUGAAGAGGAUGCUGGUUAGAGGGUUUGAAAAAGUUUAUGAGAUUGGUCGAAUAUUCAGAAAUGAAGGGAUUUCAAAUCGUCACAAUCCAGAAUUUAAAGCAAUGAAAUGGAGCAUAAGAUUAAGGCCUGGAAGAUUUUUCACAGUUCCUGAGGAACUGAGAGCACCGUAUGAGUCCCAAAAUGGUGAUACAGUUAUGGAGGCAAUUGUAAA